ACAACCUUUUACUGAACAGGAUUGAAAGACUUUCUCUGACAAGGGUACGUUUUGAUCCAAAGUUGAGCAGCAGCAGAAAAAAGAGAAAGCUCAAAAGACUCAGAAACCUUUAGAACACGCCAAAAAGCAGCUCAGGUCCUGUACCAUGGGUGGUACCAAAACAAAAAACGAAAAACCAGCUGAAGGCAUCCAACAAGUGCAAGCAACAAAAGUCAGAUCUACUGACCAACAACAUCAAAGAAAGAAGAAAGGUAAGCUAUUUCAAAGAUGCUUCCAACCAUAUUCAAGUGUGUGGGUCUGUGGGUCUGUUAAAAAUAAAUCCUAGAAAAACCGUAAUAUUCCGGCAGCUGGGGCACCAAAAUAAUACCAUCAA